GGGUCAGUAGGUUGGUCGUGCCACCGGUACGUACUGGUCUCACUGAUUCCUCCUUCCUGAAGAACCGUAAUGCCAUUAAUUUGGUGUUGCGGGGAAACAGGACUGUUACUUUGAAAAAAUUAGAGUGUUUAAAGCAAGCUAACGCUUGAAUACAUUAGCAUGGAAUAAUGAAAUAGGACGAUCGAUCCUAUUUUGUUGGUUUCUAGGAUUGACGUAAUGAUUAAUAGGGAUAGGGG
rnacentral:rRNA from 1 species